rnacentral:rRNA from 1 species
GUGCCAGCCGCCGCGGUAAUACGUAGGGGGCGAGCGUUGUCCGGAAUUAUUGGGCGUAAAGGGUUCGCAGGCGGCCCGUUAAGUCAGAUGUGAAAGAUCACGGCUCAACCGUGGUAAGCAUUUGAAACUGACAGGCUUGAGUUAAGGAGAGGAAAGUGGAAUUCCUAGUGUAGCGGUGAAAUGCGUAGAUAUUAGGAGGAAUACCAGUGGCGAAGGCGACUUUCUGGACUUAUACUGACGCUGAGGAACGAAAGCGUGGGGAGCAAACAGGAUUAGAUACCCUGGUAGUCCACGCCGUAAACGAUGAGUGCUAGGUGUUGGGGUC